rnacentral:pre_miRNA from 1 species
AAAGACUCAAUUUCUGGGUUUCCGUGUCCAACGUUUGACCGUCCAUCUUAUAUGAAAUUUUUUUAUGAUUAAUAUUUGCAUUAUUGUUAGAUGAUAAAACAUGAAUAAUACUUUAUGUAUGAUUUAUCUUUUUAAAUUUUUUCAUAUUUUUUCAAAUAAGAUGAACAGUCAAAUGUUAAACACGGAAACCUAAA